GUCUACGGCCAUGCCACCCUGAACGUGCCCGAUCCCGUCUGAUCUCGGAAGCUAAGCAGGGUCGGGCCUGGUUAGCACUUGGAUGGGAGACCACCUAGGAAGACCAGGUGCUGUAGGCG
rnacentral:rRNA from 1 species